GUGUUGGGUGUAUGAAUUGGCCUGCAAAGCCGCGUACCUCGGUUCGAUUCCGGGCCCAGCCUCCA
rnacentral:tRNA from 1 species